rnacentral:lncRNA from 1 species
UCUUUUGGAUAUUCAUUCUUUAAUGGGCUCCUUCUAUUGUGCAUUUGCAUUUGAGGAGAUGUGAUCUGAUAAAAAACAGGCUGGACGGAAGAUGAGGUAAGCUCCUAAGUACAUGCGAUGUCUUAUAGGGAUUUUAUCAAUUAAUUUAUUAGUAAAAUUAGAUCUCUUGUUUCCUUUUUCUCAUUAUUUGUGCUCUUUGAAGUGAAUUUGUCCAUUCAUAUAUGAUGUUGUUGAAAAGAAGUCAUACUCCAUGCAUGUGAUUACAAAAAUAGAUUAGCUCUUCAUAUUGUUACGUGGGGCUCUCAAAUUUUCUAACCAUGCAAAUACAUGUAAACUAUUUCAGUUAAAUACCUGACUCCUAAUAUUGUUAGUGCAUUACUCUUGUGAUUGAUUAGUGUAUUUGUAUAUUUUAUAAUUUGUCAAUUUUUAUAUUUAUUAUGAAGGAAAAAUAUAAGAAAAUGUGGAGUUUUUGGAGGCAAAAGUUGUUAUGGCAAGUAUUGACAUGAUUUCCUAAUCUUACUUACUUCCUAGAAUGCCUAAAUCAUAUCAUGCAGGAAGAGAAAAAGAAAAAGAAAAGAA